rnacentral:rRNA from 1 species
AUGGCUAUGAGAGGCAACAAUGUCAAGACCAUUGUGAUGAUGCUCGUAGUUGUGGGUGUUGUGGCCAUGGAGCAAACCCAGCAAGUACAAGCAUCCCACUGUUGUUAUGAUCUCAACUCGGUCGAUACCUAUUUUAAGUGCCGCGCAAAAUCUGAUAGCACUGUCUCAGAGUGCUGCGGUGUUUCCGCUGGCUAUAUAUCAGAAGCCGCUGGAUUUGAAUGCAAGCCCGGUUAUAUAGAUAUAGAGACUGCACUGCAAGCCACCAACUACUGCAAGAUUGGGUGCACGGCUUCCUUGUGCAACAAAUUAACUCCUUCUGGGAAAGGCGCCAUGGAACACUGCACCAGUGGAUGCCACGAUCUGUGCACCAAGAACAACGCGGAAAUUGCACAAGUCAUCACGGCUUAA